rnacentral:rRNA from 1 species
AGUGAACGCUGGCGGUAGGCCUAACACAUGCAAGUCGAACGGCAGCACAGUAAGAGCUUGCUCUUACGGGUGGCGAGUGGCGGACGGGUGAGGAAUACAUCGGAAUCUACUUUUACGUGGGGGAUAACGUAGGGAAACUUACGCUAAUACCGCAUACGACCUACGGGUGAAAGCAGGGGAUCUUCGGACCUUGCGCGAGUGAAUGAGCCGAUGUCGGAUUAGCUAGUUGGCGGGGUAAAGGCCCACCAAGGCGACGAUCCGUAGCUGGUCUGAGAGGGUGAUCCGCCACACUGGAAGUGAGACACGGUCCAGACUCCUACGGGAGGCAGCAGUGGGGAAUAUUAGACAAGGGGCGCAAGCCGGAUCCAGCCAUACCGCGUGAGUGAAGAAGGCGUUCGGGUGGUAAAGCCCUUUUGUUGGGAAAGAAAAGCAGCAGGUUAAUACCCCGCUGUUCUGACGGUACCCAAAGAAGAAGCACCGGCUAACUUCGUG